ACGAACGCUGGCGGCGUGCCUAACACAUGCAAGUCAACUUGACUGAAGGAGCAAUCUGACAGUAGAGUGGCGCAAGGGUGCGUAACGCGUAAGUAACUUGCCCCAAGGUAAGGAAUAACGUCGAGAAAUCGGCGCUAAUACCUCAUAAUGCAGCGGAUCCGCAUGGAUAUGUUGUUAAAGGUUUACCGCCUUGGGAUAGGCUUGCGUCUGAUUAGCUAGUUGGUGUGGUAACGGCACACCAAGGCUACGAUCAGUAACUGGUCUGAGAGGACGAUCAGUCACACUGGAACUGAGACACGGUCCAGACUCCUACGGGAGGCAGCAGUGAGGAAUAUUGGGCAAUGCUCGAAAGAGUGACCCAGCAACGCCGCGUGGAGGAUGAAGGUAUUCUAUAUCGUAAACUCCUGUGAGAGCAGACGAAAGACAGAUUAUUAAUCUGGAUGACUGUAUGCUCAGAGGAAGCCCCGGCUAACUACGUG
rnacentral:rRNA from 1 species